rnacentral:rRNA from 1 species
UAGAGUUUGAUCAUGGCUCAGGAUGAACGCUAGCGGCAGGCCUAAUACAUGCAAGUCGAACGGGAUUAUCCGGCUUGCUGGAUAUGAGAGUGGCGAAUGGGUGCGUAACGCGUGAGCAACCUACCUUUGUCUGGGGGAUAGCCCGGAGAAAUCCGGAUUAAUACCGCAUAACAUCGAAUAGCGGCAUUGCUUUUCGAUCAAACAUUUAUGGGACAUGGAUGGGCCCGCGUGACAUUAGUUAGUUGGCAGGGUAACGGCCUACCAAGACCGCGAUGUCUAGGGGAUCUGAGAGGAUGACCCCCCACACUGGUACUGAGACACGGACCAGACUCCUACGGGAGGCAGCAGUAAGGAAUAUUGGUCAAUGGAGGGAACUCUGAACCAGCCAUGCCGCGUGCAGGACGACUGCCCUAUGGGUUGUAAACUGCUUUUAUACGGGAAUAACCCACUCUACGUGUAGGGUGUUGAAUGUACCGUAAGAAUAAGGAUCGGCUAACUCCGUGCCAGCAGCCGCGGUAAUACGGAGGAUCCAAGCGUUAUCCGGAUUUAUUGGGUUUAAAGGGUGCGUAGGCGGCCACAUAAGUCAGGGGUGAAAGACGGUAGCUUAACUAUCGCAGUGCCUUUGAAACUGUCUGGCUUGAAUGUACUUGAGGUGGGCGGAAUGUGACAAGUAGCGGUGAAAUGCAUAGAUAUGUCACAGAACCCCGAUUGCGAAAGCAGCUCACUAAAGUAUGGUUGACGCUGAUGCACGAAAGCGUGGGGAUCAAACAGGAUUAGA